UAGAGACCAAUACACCUCAGGUCAGAUGUUGGCCAGGUUUUCCCUCAGGGAAGAGGGAGGGGGUUGGAGCCUGUCCUAGAGGCUGCCCACAUGUUCUUCCUCGCUCUGGGGGAGACCCCAGGGUUAAGCGGGACCUCCACUUGCUGUUCUUUAAAGGCAUUAUUUCUAGAAAACCCUUAUGGCUUCUUAAGAAUGUAGGGCAUCUGGCCCUGGUCAUUGUGGCUCAGCUGGUUGGAGCAUCAUCCUGUGACCACAGGGUUGUGGGUUCGAUUCCCGGUCAAGGCGUGGGCAUGUGCAACCCGGGUCUGGGUGUGUACGGUCCCUGGUCCAGGCACGGAUGGGAGGCAACCAGCCGGUGCUUCCCUUUCACACUGGUGUUUCUCCCUCUUCCUUCCUCUCUCGCUAGAGCAGUGAAAACGAUGUCCUUGGGUGGGAUAAAUAAAGAACCCAUGGUUUCUGCUGGACUGGCUCCAUGGGAGCCCACAAGGGUGUGGCUGGGAUUUCGGGGGAAGGAACGUGGGGUGCCCGGGGGCCUGUCCAGGCCAGGAGUGGUGUCUCUUUGCUUUGAGCAGCCCCUGGCCUCUGUCUCAGGACCACGGAGCGCUCAGUUGAUUGGAUGGAUGUGGUACCGCAUUUUGGAAAGUCGUCUGUGGUUGGUGGAACAGACUGCCCUUGAGGGAGGCUGAGGGCCGCCCCAGGAGGCCUUUUGCCAGUUUCUGAUCUGCUUCGCUUGCUUACCUGGGGGUACCCAGUUACAAGUGAGAGAAGCACCGUGGUGACAGGGGCCGUGCGUCCAGAACCCAGAGAUCUGCUUCAGUUCUGUGAGGGCCCCAAAGACAGUGGACUCGGGGUGUCACCAGGCCAGCAAAAAUAUCACGUCAACACCAAGCUUCUUGCCACUUGUCAUGUGUGACCACCAGUCCAGUGCCUGACUCGGGGACGCAGAGCGGUGCCAGGGCUGUGACCCAGCCCCACUGCCACCCACCCCAGACGAGCCUCUGACCUUGUCGGAGGCCAGCCCCACAGUGCAGCCCGACAGGCCUCUUCUAGAAAGUCCCUAGGGCCUGGGAGGAAGACCCUGGCUGGGGCACUGCUGGAGAGAAACCCGUCCCCAGGCCGUGAACCGUGCCCCCGCUCUGGCCCCACACAGCAGGAUGCAUUGGAUAAAGAGGAAUUCAUGAGUCUUAGCAGGAUAAAAGUGAACAUUUAAUGCCACCAUAAUUUGAUUCCUUUUUAACACCAGAUUCUUUUUUUGACAACAGUGUACACCUCAUAUACCAGCAAACAACACCUUCACACCGGAAAUGGCACACAGCUUAAUGGAGUCACGUCGCCAGUUUGGGCAGCUGCCACUUCUGUCCCCAGACUGCCCGCAGGAAUCACACACAGCACGACCAGGCUGCCAGCCGACUCGUGCGGAGUCAGGCCACGUGGAGGCCCGGACGCCACAGCCAGCGAACAGGCCGCUGAGACCUGCCCGCGUGCAGGUCGCUGGACUUCUGACUUCGACAGAUGGACUUGGUGGAAACAUCUUAACAGCAAACACUUCAAAGCUAAGAGCGUGUUCUGUCACCCAGGUACACAGUGAAUUUCAAACGACGACACCGAACACUAGGACUGGAGUUUGAAACAGGACUUCACAGACUUGCUUGUGCAUUUUCCGUUCCCAGCACAGUAAACACACUUGGGCAGGCCCGGCCCCCAGCGUCCAGAUGGGCCCAUUUCCACAGAAAAGUGUAUUUACACACACACACACAUGCACACGCACGCAUCACUGGAGCCGAAGGAGCCAGAGACCACUGAGCGCAACGCCUUCAUCUACAGGUUAGAAGGUUCUGGGAGGUGGGGCGACCACCCAGAGCCGUAGGACCACCGUGGACACCGGAGUGAGAACUCGGGCUUCCUGUCCUGCGCGCCUGGCCAUGCCACAUACCUGCUGUACACAUGCAUCCCCGUCCGCCCCACGCACACACGCGUCGGCACAUAGUGUGGGGUGUGCUCACCAGUGCACACACCCAGCACGGCAGCACCUCGUGGGAAGGGUCCAGGCUGCUGGACUCGGGUCCCGGUGCUGCUGGAAAACUUGCCGUGGACUUGGGCCAAGCGGUUGACUUCAGUUUCUUCACCGAUGCACGAUUACCCUCAGCCCCUAGCGGAGCUGUGAUUUCUUCGAAGUACUUCUCACCAGUUACACCGGUCUCUCUCCACUCUCUCCCGGGGAGCGGCUGUUGUGACCCCCACCCAGCCGUCCACUGGGGAGCCCAAGGCUCGGCGAAGCGAAGUCCAGGGUUGCAUAGCAGGUCUUGCACGAGUGAGGGGAAACACAGCCACAGACCACCAAACUCACACAUCAACGCGUCGCUGCGGACGGCAGCUCCCACCGUAAGGGAGCAGGUCAAGCGUGAAGCACAAGCUGUGCUGUGAUAGCCGAGUGCACAGCUCCAUUGGGGUGUCUUCAUCAAUUGAACGUGACCCUGAGGGAUAUUGGUUAGCAGGAUGCAGGACGCACCAGUGAGUCUCCCCGGUUCUGAGCGUCACCCCCUGCACACGGCCACCACGCGGCUCUAUUUAGAGAAGGUCCGUUAGACGCAGCGAAGGCUCCACACCCCCCGGGCACCACCACGCCCAUCAUCGACCAAGAUGAGCCACCAAGAACAGAACAUGUUUGUUCUAGACAAUGAAGUGAAGGCAGGCUCUUCGACACCCCUUUGCCUUCCUGGGUUCUCUGUCACUGAAACCAAAAGGAGAUCGGGGCCUACCUCACACCGGCCACCGAGGGGACGGAGUGACCCCCCCCCCGGGCACUGAGACAGCUUCGGAAUGACCGGCCAGCCUGCCUCCCUCUGGGACCGAGGACCGCCUCCUGGACCGUCAACUCAGCUCACGCAGGUUUGAAAGAGGAGGAUAAAACACCAGAGGGGACAGCCUUCAAGCAUCGUCCUCCUGCGCCUUGGCAGACAGGUGCACGGUGUGGCGUUCGUCGGAGGCCAGGCCGCCUCAGCUAGAAAACAAAACCGCUCGACGUCACUGCAGACUUGCCACUGACCUUCAUCCUCAUGCUGUGGUCUCUGAGCGCCGCCGGG